rnacentral:rRNA from 1 species
CUCAAAUUUAAAAUCUGGCGUCUUUCAGGUGUCCGAGUUGUAAUCUAUAGAGGCGUUUUCCGCGCCGGCCCGCGUCCAAGUCUCUUGGAAUAGAGUAUCAAAGAGGGUGACAAUCCCGUACUUGACGCGACAACCGGUGCUCUGUCCCACGUUCUCAAUGAGUCGAGUUGUUUGGGAAUGCAGCUCUAAAUGGGUGGAAAUUCCAUCUACCGCUAAAUAUUGGGAGAGACCGAUAGCGAACAAGUACCGUGAGGGAAAGAUGAAAGCAUCCGGAAUGAGAGUAAAUUUUUUUCGCCAUUUUAAAAGGGAACGAUGAAGCCCACCGCCCACCAAAUCAGCGCUCUGGG